UACGAAGGGGGCUAGCGUUGCUCGGAAUUACUGGGCGUAAAGCGCACGUAGGCGGAUUGUUAAGUCGGGGGUGAAAUCCUGGAGCUCAACUCCAGAACUGCCUUCGAUACUGGCGAUCUCGAGUUCGGGAGAGGUGAGUGGAACUGCGAGUGUAGAGGUGAAAUUCGUAGAUAUCAAGAGGAACACCAGUGGCGAAGGCGAGUCCCUGGACGAUACCUGACACUGAGGCACGAAAGCCGGGGGAGCAAACAGG
rnacentral:rRNA from 1 species